rnacentral:rRNA from 1 species
UGGGGAAUUUUGGACAAUGGGCGAAAGCCUGAUCCAGCAAUGCCGCGUGUGUGAAGAAGGCCUUCGGGUUGUAAAGCACUUUUGUCCGGAAAGAAAUCCUUGGCUCUAAUACAGUCGGGGGAUGACGGUACCGGAAGAAUAAGCACCGGCUAACUACGUGCCAGCAGCCGCGGUAAUACGUAGGGUGCAAGCGUUAAUCGGAAUUACUGGGCGUAAAGCGUGCGCAGGCGGUUUGCUAAGACCGAUGUGAAAUCCCCGGGCUCAACCUGGGAACUGCAUUGGUGACUGGCAGGCUAGAGUAUGGCAGAGGGGGGUAGAAUUCCACGUGUAGCAGUGAAAUGCGUAGAGAUGUGGAGGAAUACCGAUGGCGAAGGCAGCCCCCUGGGCCAAUACUGACGCUCAUGCACGAAAGCGUGGGGAGCAAACAGGAUUAGAUACCCUGGUAGUCCACGCCCAAACGAUGUCAACUAGUUGUUGGGGAUUCAUUUCCUUAGUAACGUGCUAACGCGUGAAGUUGACCGCCUGGGGAGUAC